GCAGUGGUGGUUCAGUGGUAGAAUUCUAGCCUUCCAUGUGGGAGACCUGAGUUUGAUUCCCAGCCAGUCCA
rnacentral:tRNA from 1 species